rnacentral:rRNA from 1 species
CCCUUAGAUGUCCGGGGCCGCACGCGCGCUACACUGAAGGAAUCAGCGUGGAUGCCUCCCUGGUCCGAAAGGAUUGGGAAACCCGUUGAAUCUCCUUCGUGCUAGGGAUUGGGGCUUGUAAUUCUUCCCCAUGAACGAGGAAUUCCCAGUAAGCGCGAGUCAUAAGCUCGCGUUGAUUACGUCCCUGCCCUUUGUACACACCGCCCGUCGCUACUACCGAUUGAAUGGUUUAGUGAGAUCUUCGGAUUGGCGCCACUGCGGCUCAGCAAUGGGCUCGGUGGAUGCCGAAAAGUUGAUCAAACUUGAUCAUUUAGAGGAAGUAAAAGUCGUAACA